rnacentral:rRNA from 1 species
AGAGUUUGAUCCUGGCUCAGAUUGAACGCUGGCGGCAGGCCUAACACAUGCAAGUCGAACGGUAACAGGAAACAGCUUGCUGUUUCGCUGACGAGUGGCGGACGGGUGAGUAAUGUCUGGGAAACUGCCUGAUGGAGGGGGAUAACUACUGGAAACGGUAGCUAAUACCGCAUAACGUCGCAAGACCAAAGAGGGGGACCUUCGGGCCUCUUGCCAUCAGAUGUGCCCAGAUGGGAUUAGCUAGUAGGUGGGGUAACGGCUCACUUAGGCGACGAUCCCUAGCUGGUCUGAGAGGAUGACCAGCCACACUGGAACUGAGACACGGUCCAGACUCCUACGGGAGGCAGCAGUGGGGAAUAUUGCACAAUGGGCGCAAGCCUGAUGCAGCCAUGCCGCGUGUAUGAAGAAGGCCUUCGGGUUGUAAAGUACUUUCAGCGGGGAGGAAGGGAGUAAAGUUAAUACCUUUGCUCAUUGACGUUACCCGCAGAAGAAGCACCGGCUAACUCCGUGCCAGCAGCCGCGGUAAUACGGAGGGUGCAAGCGUUAAUCGGAAUUACUGGGCGUAAAGCGCACGCAGGCGGUUUGUUAAGUCAGAUGUGAAAUCCCCGGGCUCAACCUGGGAACUGCAUCUGAUACUGGCAAGCUUGAGUCUCGUAGAGGGGGGUAGAAUUCCAGGUGUAGCGGUGAAAUGCGUAGAGAUCUGGAGGAAUACCGGUGGCGAAGGCGGCCCCCUGGACGAAGACUGACGCUCAGGUGCGAAAGCGUGGGGAGCAAACAGGAUUAGAUACCCUGGUAGUCCACGCCGUAAACGAUGUCGACUUGGAGGUUGUGCCCUUGAGGCGUGGCUUCCGGAGCUAACGCGUUAAGUCGACCGCCUGGGGAGUACGGCCGCAAGGUUAAAACUCAAAUGAAUUGACGGGGGCCCGCACAAGCGGUGGAGCAUGUGGUUUAAUUCGAUGCAACGCGAAGAACCUUACCUGGUCUUGACAUCCACGGAAGUUUUCAGAGAUGAGAAUGUGCCUUCGGGAACCGUGAGACAGGUGCUGCAUGGCUGUCGUCAGCUCGUGUUGUGAAAUGUUGGGUUAAGUCCCGUAACGAGCGCAACCC